rnacentral:rRNA from 1 species
CAAUAGCGUAUAUUAAAGUUGUUGCAGUUAAAAAGCUCGUAGUUGGAUUUCUGGUCGGAAGCUCCUGUCCUCUGAUGAGCGUACAAGUGCGUCCUACCAUCCUUCUGUUAACCUUUAAGGCUUUCGCGGCUUUCUAGGGGCUCAGAUAUUUUACCUUGAGAAAAUUAGAGUGUUUCAGGCAGGCUAGCGCCGGAAUACAUUAGCAUGGAAUAAUGGAAUAGGACUUUUGCCUCUUCUGCUGGUCAUGAGGCUCGAGUAAUGAUUAAUAGGGAUAGUUGGGGGCAUUAGUACUUAACUGUCAGAGGUGAAAUUCUCGGAUUUGUUAAAGACUAACUUAUGCGAAAGCAUUUGCCAAGGAUGUUUUCAUUAA